rnacentral:rRNA from 1 species
UACGUAGGGUGCAAGCGUUGUCCGGAAUUAUUGGGCGUAAAGAGCUCGUAGGCGGCUUGUCACGUCGACUGUGAAAACCCGGGGCUCAACUCCGGGCCUGCAGUCGAUACGGGCUGGCUUGAGUGCGGUAGGGGAGACUGGAAUUCCUGGUGUAGCGGUGAAAUGCGCAGAUAUCAGGAGGAACACCGGUGGCGAAGGCGGGUCUCUGGGCCAUUACUGACGCUGAGGAGCGAAAGCGUGGGGAGCGAACAGG